rnacentral:rRNA from 1 species
CCUACGGGCUGCAGCAGUGGGGGAUAUUGCACAAUGGGGGGAACCCUGAUGCAGCGACGCCGCGUGGGUGAAGGAGUAUUUCGGUAUGUAAAGCCCUAUCGGCAGGGAAGAAGCAAGACGGUACCUGACUAAGAAGCCCCGGCUAACUACGUGCCAGCAGCCGCGGUAAUACGUAGGGGGCGAGCGUUAUCCGGAUUCACUGGGUGUAAAGGGAGCGUAGACGGCCAUGCAAGCCAGGGGUGAAAGCCCGGGGCCCAACCCCGGGACUGCCCUUGGAAAUGCAUGGCUGGAGUGCGGGAGGGGCAGGCGGAAUUCCUGGUGUAGCGGUGAAAUGCGUAGAUAUCAGGAGGAACACCGGCGGCGAAGGCGGCCUGCUGGACCGCGACUGACGUUGAGGCUCGAAAGCGUGGGGAGCGAACAGGAUUAGAUACCCCAGUAGUC